CGCACUUGGCAACUGUUGCCCCUAGCAACUGGCCCCAAGAUAGCUGAGCCCUGAGAGAUGGCGCUACAGUCUGUCAGAGUCCAGCCGGAGGGACAGGACACCUCGACCUGCAAGACAAAAGCAGCUAUGUCAAAAGGUGGCACUCCAGAGACGGAGCAUGGCAGCACACGGCAUGCGAUGUCACCCCGUCUGUCACAACACAACGCUUCCGAUCACCGUUACGUGGACGGGAGCCGGGCCAAGACGUACAGCCUAGAGAGAGACGAGCUACGUGCUUAAAUGAGCUCAGACAAUGGAAAACUUUUAAAGUAUUGACCAUUAGUGAUUCUCAGACAAGCACUGGCCCAUCCUCCACACAGGAAUCAUCAUGACGGCAAUGAAUGAGGAAUAAAGUAACAAACCACUGAA